CCUACGGGGGGCAGCAGUGGGGAAUAUUGGACAAUGGGGGGAACCCUGAUCCAGCGACGCCGCGUGAGUGAAGAAGUAUUUCGGUGUGUAAAGCUCUUUCAGCAGGGAAGAAAAUGACGGUACCUGUCUAAGUAGCCACGGCUAACUCCGUGCCAGCAGCCGCGGUCAUACGUAGGGGGCAAGCUUUAUCCGGAUUUACGGGGUGAAAAGGGAGAGUAGAUGGUGCAGCAAGUCUGAUGUGAAAGGUCGGGGGCCAACCCCGGGACUGCAUUGGAAACUGUUGAAGUGGAGUACAGGAGAGGGAGGCGGAAUUCCUAGGGUAGCGGUGAAAUGCGUAGAUAUUAGGAAGAACACCAGUGGCGAAGGCGGCUUACUGGAC
rnacentral:rRNA from 1 species